rnacentral:rRNA from 1 species
AUUGAACGCUGGCGGCAUGCCUUACACAUGCAAGUCGAACGGCAGCACGGGUGCUUGCACCUGGUGGCGAGUGGCGAACGGGUGAGUAAUACAUCGGAACGUACCUUAUCGUGGGGGAUAACGCAGCGAAAGCUGUGCUAAUACCGCAUACGCCCUGAGGGGGAAAGCGGGGGAUCGCAAGACCUCGCGCGAUUAGAGCGGCCGAUGCCUGAUUAGCUUGUUGGUGGGGUAAAAGCCCACCAAGGCGACGAUCAGUAGCUGGUCUGAGAGGAAGAUCAGCCACACUGGGACUGAGGAACGGCCCAGACUCCUACGGGAGGCAGCAGUGGGGAAUUUUGGACAAUGGGGGCAACCCUGAUCCAGCAAUGCCGCGUGAGUGAAGAAGGCCUUCGGGUUGUAAAGCUCUUUUGUCAGGGAAGAAACACCGGCUCUAACACAGUCCGGGAAUGACGGUACCUGAAGAAUAAGCACCGGCUAACUACGUGCCAGCCGCCGCCGUAA